rnacentral:rRNA from 1 species
UCGCGGCCUAUCAGCUUGUUGGUGGGGUGAUGGCCUACCAAGGCAACGACGGGUAGCUGGUCUGAGAGGAUGGCCAGCCACAUUGGGACUGAGAUACGGCCCAGACUCCUACGGGAGGCAGCAGUGGGGAAUCUUGCGCAAUGGCCUAACGGCUGACGCAGCGACGCCGCGUGUGGGAUGAAGCUCUUCGGAGUGUAAACCACUGUUGCCCGGGACGAAUAGCUCGAUUAAUCGAGCCUGACGGUACCGGGUGAGGAAGCACCGGCUAACUCCGUGCCAGCAGCCGCGGUAAUACGGGGGGUGCGAGCGUUGUCCGGAAUCGCUGGGCGUAAAGGGCGCGUAGGUGGUUUGAUAAGGGUGUGGUGAAAGUCCGGGGCUCAACCCCGGAUCUGCCGUGCCGACUGUCAAACUCGAGGGCUGUAGAGGCAGACGGAAUUCCGGGUGUAGCGGUGGAAUGCGUAGAGAUCCGGAGGAAGACCGGUGGCGAAGGCGGUCUGCUGGGCAGUUUCUGACACUGAUGCGCGACAGCGUGGGGAGCAAACAGGAUUAGAUACCCUGGUAGUCCACGCCGUAAACGAUGGGUACUAGGUGCCUGGGGGAGCGACCCUCUGGGUGCCGGCGCUAACGCAGGAAGUACCCCGCCUGGGGAGUACGG